AGUUCCUUACUACGAUUUUUUUGUUUGUUUGCUUGUUUUAUUUAUUUAUUUAUUUACUGGGGGGAAAGCUAUGAAAAGACCUGGCAACCCGUUAAAUUGUUUCAGUUUCAUUUCUUGCUUUUUGUUGUUUCUGUAGCCUACGACCACAGCUGUUUCUACAGAAAUGUUUCGGGAUGAUUCAGAAAUCAAAAACAGAAGCCUUCAGAUUACAUCUCAGCACCGAGAGAGAGAGAGACGAUGCAGAAGAUGACAUGUCAGGUGGAUUAUGGAAAAUCUCUGGCUCGCAGUUACCUUUCUGAGCUUUGAGGUUACUGAAGCCCUGUAAAGUAAAGCGCUUUUUAGCCACAGCAGCUCUGUCUGAGGUCGGGCUUGUCACACCCUCAUCUGACCCAGAUGGAAAGCAAGGAGACGAGACAGACGGACAAAAAGAAUUAAGGAAGAAGAAGAGCAGGGCCUUCUCGUGGAGGAAGAGGUGUCUCUGCAUGGGCUUGAAACGGGCCAGAUCCUUAACCUUGGCGUGGCCUUUCUUGUGCUCGGUCCACACACUGAAUGAUCCUUGCAUAAGCAGUUUACCC